rnacentral:lncRNA from 1 species
CCCAUAGGUCAUCCUCCGAGUGAUGAGAUAUAUGGUCAUGGUGGUGGCCACCACACUGCACCGGGCCCGAGUGACCCCAUAGAUCCUCCUCCAAGUGAUGAGAUAUAUAACCGUGGUGGUCAUCACACUGCUCCGGGCCCGAGUGACCCCAUAGAUCCCAUAGGCCCUCCUCCAAGUGAUGAGAUAUAUAACCAUGGUGGUCAUCACACUGCUCCGGGCCCGAGUAACCCCAUAGAUCCCAUAGGCCCUCCUCCAAGUGAUGAGAUAUAUAACCGUGGUGGUCAUCACACUGCUCCGGGCCCAAGUAACCCCAUAGAUCCCAUAGGCCCUCCUCCAAGUGAUGAGAUAUAUAACCGUGGUGGUCAUCACACUACUCCGGGCCCGAGUGACCCCAUAGAUCCUAUAGGCCCUCCUCCAAAUGAUGAGAUAUAUAACCGUGGUGGUCAUCACACUGCUCCGGGCCCGAGUAACCCCAUAGAUCCCAUAGGCCCUCCUCCAAGUGAUAUAUAACCGUGGUGGUCAUCAUACUGCUCCAGGCCCAAGUGACCCCAUAGGUCCUCCUCCAAGUGGUGUAAUAUCAUAGUACCUGAUUAGACAUUCCUCAUAUAUUAGAGAUGUACAACACUGUUUUUCAGAUUCGGACUAUUGUAACCGUGCAUCUCCAACUCAUGCCGAAAUAAUAAAGCAUAUCUUCGUUUUCAAUUUUCUCUUGAUGUUCUACUGUUUCCUCCCUAUAAGAGUGAC